rnacentral:rRNA from 1 species
CGCAUCUGUGCAUGCAGCAUAUCAAUAAGCGGAGGAAAAGAAACUAACAAGGAUUCCCCUAGUAACGGCGAGUGAAGCGGGAAGAGCUCAAAUUUGAAAUCUUAAAGGGUUUCUCUUUACGAAUUGUAGUUUAAAGAAGUGUUUUCUGUUGAGGUUUUGGUAAAAGUUCUUUGGAAUAGGACAUCAUAGAGGGUGAGAAUCCCGUAUUUGACCAUUUACUUUUCAGCUUUGUGAUACACUUUCAAAGAGUCGGAUUGUUUGGGAAUGCAGUCCAAAAUGGGUGGUAAAUUUCAUCUAAAGCUAAAUAUUGGCGAGAGACCGAUAGCGAACAAGUACCGUGAGGGAAAGAUGAAAAGAACUUUGAAAAGAGAGUUAAACAGUACGUGAAAUUGUCAAAAGGGAAGCGUUUGACACCAUGUGUUGUUUUUCUGAAAAUCAAUUAAAGAACUGUUUAUGCUAAGUUGUUUAGACUUUAUCAGCUAACUGUUUAGUUUUGAGCUUUUCUUUAAUGCACUUUUCAGUUAACAAGUCAACAUCAAUUUCUUUUGCUGUAAAAAAGCUUGAGGAAGGUGGCUUGAGAUUCGUCUUAAGUGUUUAUAGCCUCUUGCCUAUGCAGUCGGAGAGAUUGAGGUCUGCAGCGUAGAUCCUUCGGGGCUAAAUGCAUUUGUGCUAAGUUAUAGCAUUUUAUAGACAACUUGUUGACUAUGAUUUGCCUUGUAGCUUACUCGCUUAUGUUAUUUUACCUACGCUUAGGAUGUUGAUCUCUCACAGUCGAGC